GACGAACGCUGGCGGCGUGCUUAACACAUGCAAGUCGAACGAGUGGGUACGGGUGAGUAAUACGUGGGUAACCUGCCCAUCAGAGGGGAUAACACUUGGAAACAGGUGCUAAACCGAUACUGAUGGAUGGACCCGCGGUGCGUUAGCUAGUUGGUGAGGUAACGGCGCACCAAGGCCACCAUGCAUAGCAGACCUGAGGGGUUGAGCGGCCACACUGGGAAUUAGACACGGCCCAGACUCCUACGGGAGGCAGCAGUAGGGAAUCUUCGGCAAUGGACGAAAGUCUGACCGAGCAACGCCGCGUGAGUGAAGAAGGUUUUCGGAUCGUAAAACUCUGUUGUUAGAGAAGCGUUAUCUAACCAGAAAGCCACGGCUAACUACGUGCCAGCAGCCGCGGUAAUAC
rnacentral:rRNA from 1 species